UCUUAGUUGCCAUCAUUCAGUUGGCACUCUAAAGAGACUGCCGGUGUCAAACCGGAGGAAGGUGGGAUGACGUCAAGUCCUCAUGGCCUUUAUGACCAGGGCUACACACGUACUACAAUGGCCAGUACAAAGGGCAGCCACUUAGCGAUAGGGAGCCAAUCCCGUAAAGCCGGUCUCAGUCCGGAUUGGAGUCUGCAACUCGACUCCAUGAAGUUGGAAUCGCUAGUAGUCGCAGAUCAGCACGCUGCGGUGAAUACGUUCCCGGGCCUU
rnacentral:rRNA from 1 species